GCUUGCUCUAAAACUCGCAUCCCAACUUGUGUCUAAUCAUGGCAGCAACUGAGUCAUCCAGUUCUGUUCGAAAAGUUGUUAUUCAUCUCAGAGCAACUGGGGACGCUCCGAUACUAAAGCAAGCCAAAUUCAAGAUACCUGGAACUGACAAAUUUGCUAAAGUAAUUGAUUUUCUACGCCGGCAACUGCACCGUGAUACUUGUUUGUGUAUGUCAAUAGUGCCUUCUCACCGAACCCAGAUGAACUGGUGAUCGACCUAUAUAAUAAUUUCGGUUUUGAUGGUAAACUGGUGGUCAAUUAUGCCUGUUCUAUGGCAUGGGGCUAAGUCCUAAGAUAAUGGAUCUACUGAGAGUCUGAGAUAAAACUGUCAACUAUGUACUAGCUUCUUACUUCGACACAAGCAAGGUAAUAUCGUGGGCGGUAUUCAGUAUCAACUUGUGAUAAUUGUUCAAUUCGUUACCAUUGAUUUGUAAUUCAAGCCAAUGGGCUAAUGAUAAUCACACCCUUUUGUUUGUGUUUUUCUUAAUGCAAAAGAAAUCAUAGUUUGAGUUUGAAAAAA